GACGAAGGGAGCAAGCGUUGCUCGGAAUAAUUGGGCGUAAAGGGUGCGCAGGCGGUUUUUUAAGUGAAAUGUUAAAGACUUGGACUCAAUCUAAGGAGUGCAUUUCAUACUGAAAAACUUGAGUGUGGGAGAGGAAAUAGGAAUUCCUCAUGUAGAGGUGAAAUUCGUAGAUAUGAGGAGGAACACCAAAGGCGAAGGCAAGUUUCUGGAACACAACUGACGCUAAGGCACGAAAGCGUGGGGAGCAAACAGGAUUAGAUACCCUGGUAGUCCACGCCCUAAACGAUGAUUGCUAAACGUUGGAAAUAAUAAUUUUCAGUGUUGAAGCUAACGCAUUAAGCAAUCCGCCUGGGGAGUACGGUCGCAAGACUAAA
rnacentral:rRNA from 1 species